AGUGGGGAAUAUUGCACAAUGGGCGCAAGCCUGAUGCAGCCAUGCCGCGUGUGUGAAGAAGGCCUUCGGGUUGUAAAGCACUUUCAGCAGUGAGGAAGGCGGGUACGUUAAUAGCGUGCUCGUUUGACGUUAGCUGCAGAAGAAGCACCGGCUAACUCCGUGCCAGCAGCCGCGGUAAUACGGAGGGUGCGAGCGUUAAUCGGAAUUACUGGGCGUAAAGCGCAUGCAGGUGGUUCGUUAAGUCAGAUGUGAAAGCCCGGGGCUCAACCUCGGAACUGCAUUUGAAACUGGCGGACUAGAGUACUGUAGAGGGGGGUAGAAUUUCAGGUGUAGCGGUGAAAUGCGUAGAGAUCUGAAGGAAUACCGGUGGCGAAGGCGGCCCCCUGGACAGAUACUGACACUCAGAUGCGAAAGCGUGGGGAGCAAA
rnacentral:rRNA from 1 species